CUUUGUUUCAGCAAUCUGCCGUUUGAUUGGUCCGAGAGCUGGGGGCGGGGAUUUGGGCCGCUGCCGGGAGAAGCCGGAAUUACUUUGGAGAGCCCCGCCCCCUGGCUCCGCAGGAUCGCCCCCUUCUCAGAUGAUCUGCUGCUCACCUCAGAUACCUACAGAGACUCUGCUGGUGCCUGUCAAAGGUGCUGUCACCUCCCACUCCCACAAAAAGUGCCGCUGCUCUCUCUCAUCUGCUGAAGGUAGCACUGCUGGAAGUCUUGUAUGGAAGUGGAAGAUCUGAUGUCUUUGCUGAAUGUAUUAGCACCUCUGGUUGGCAAGGUUGCUAGUGUUCCACUCUGCUGAUGCAGGCACUGGUGGUGGCAUUGAUGUGAUAAAGACUUCAAAGCACCAAUAGGUUCUCUACUGAAGUGGAAAGGAUCUUUUUAUGUCUUUUGUCUUAUAUUUCUACCUGGGCUCCAAAGUCAUGCUUCCUGGUGUUGCCAGUGAGCAGGGAGAAUUUAGUGAAGAAGCUUUUUGCAGAGAUGACUAGCUGUCUGCUAAAAUUCCAUUAUGUAGAAUAAGUGCCAAGAAGUAGCCACACACACAUUAAAAAAAAAUUCUGAGCCCCUGUACCCCACCUUUGCAUUUAGUGGAGUCAUAGGACUAGCUCACACCCAUGUGAACAGAGCUGAUGUGUCUCAUUUCUGGGCCAAGGAGUUUAAGAAGUGGGGUUUGUCUCCUUUACAUUCUCUUUUUCCUCUUCUGCCAGCUCUAAUACCUCAAGGAAUGUCAGAAUAUGGGACAGAAGGAGCCAGGACAUCCACCUUGCACUGUUCUGGGAGGAAGAAAUACAUUUUCUGGCCUGCGCAGGGUGGCUCACGCCUGUAAUCCCAGGACUUUGGGAGGCUGAGGUGGGCAGAUUGCCUGAGCUCAGGAGUUUGUGACCAGCCUUGGCAACACAAGGAAACCCCAUCUCUACUAAAAUACAAAAAAUUAGCCAAGUGUGGCAGCGCGAGCCUGUAAUCCCAGCUACUUGGGAGGCUGAGGCAGGAGAAUUGCUUGAACCCAGGAGGCAGAGGUUGCAGUGAGCUGAGAUCAUGCCACUGCACUUCAGCCUGGGCGACAGAGUAAGAAUCUGUCUCAAAAAAAAAAAAAGAAGAAAUACAUUUUCUGUAUACUUAAAAAUAAUUAAAAUGAGGAGAUCGAGACCAUCCCGGCUAAAACGGUGAAACCCCGUCUCUACUAAAAAUACAAAAAAUUAGCCGG
rnacentral:lncRNA from 1 species